rnacentral:rRNA from 1 species
UGUAUGGGGAUCUGCCCGAUAGAGGGGGAUAACUACUGGAAACGGUGGCUAAUACCGCAUAAUGUCUGCGGACCAAAGCAGGGGCUCUUCGGACCUUGCACUAUCGGAUGAACCCAUAUGGGAUUAGCUAGUAGGUGGGGUAAAGGCUCACCUAGGCGACGAUCUCUAGCUGGUCUGAGAGGAUGAUCAGCCACACUGGGACUGAGACACGGCCCAG